rnacentral:sRNA from 1 species
UAGGGUGUGAGGAAAUCAAAGAAUAGCUCUUGGGGUCGAAACACGGCAAGACUCCCAAGGGCUUUUCU